UACGUAGGGUGCAAGCGUUAAUCGGAAUUACUGGGCGUAAAGCGUGCGCAGGCGGUGAUGUAAGACAGGUGUGAAAUCCCCGGGCUUAACCUGGGAACUGCAUUUGUGACUGCAUCGCUGGAGUGCGGCAGAGGGGGAUGGAAUUCCGCGCGUAGCAGUGAAAUGCGUAGAUAUGCGGAGGAACACCGAUGGCGAAGGCAAUUCCCUGGGCCUGCACUGACGCUCAUGCACGAAAGCGUGGGGAGCAAACAGG
rnacentral:rRNA from 1 species